rnacentral:rRNA from 1 species
GACGAACGCUGGCGGCGUGCUUAACACAUGCAAGUCGAACGGAAAGGCCCUGCUUUUGUGGGGUGCUCGAGUGGCGAACGGGUGAGUAACACGUGAGUAACCUGCCCUUGACUUUGGGAUAACUUCAGGAAACUGGGGCUAAUACCGGAUAGGAGCUCCUGCUGCAUGGUGGGGGUUGGAAAGUUUCGGCGGUUGGGGAUGGACUCGCGGCUUAUCAGCUUGUUGGUGGGGUAGUGGCUUACCAAGGCUUUGACGGGUAGCCGGCCUGAGAGGGUGACCGGCCAAAUUGGGAUUGGAAUACGGCCCAGACUCCUACGGGAGGCAGCAGUGGGGAAUAUUGCACAAUGGGCGGAAGCCUGAUGCAGCAACGCCGCGUGCGGGAUGACGGCCUUCGGGUUGUAAACCGCUUUCGCCUGUGACGAAGCGUGAGUGACGGUAAUGGGUAAAGAAGCACCGGCUAACUACGUG